rfam:Rhizobiales bacterium TMED29 16592, whole genome shotgun sequence.
GUGGGACUGCCCGACGCGACGUUUACCAUUGCGCUCGGGGCCUUACGAUCCUUUCGGGAACUGUCACUGUGGUCGGUUGUGGCCGGUCGCACACGGUGCCCACCUACUUAUGUAGGUCUCCGAGGAUACUGUAAGCGACGGUUAGGGCGGUUCCACU